rnacentral:tRNA from 1 species
GCGGAUGUAGCCAAGUGGAUGAAGGCGGUGGAUUGUGAAUCCACCAUGCGCGGGUUCAAUUCCCGUCGUUCGC